rnacentral:misc_RNA from 1 species
GAACGCAUCUUGCGCUCCUUGGUAUUCCGAGGAGCAUGCCUGUUUGAGUGUCGUCAAUAUCUCAACUCUCAUGGCUUGCCAUGAUGAGCUUGGACUUUGGGGGUCUUGUCGGCCUGCGGUCGGCUCCUCUCAAAUGGAUCAGCUUGCCAGUGUUUGGUGGCGUCACAGGUGUGAUAACUAUCUGCGCUUGUGGUUUCCCAUCAGAUAACCUUCAGCGAUGGAGGUUCGCUGGGGCUCAUAAAUGUCUCUCCUAAGUGAGGACAGCCCUUUGAACGUUUGAUCUCAAAUCAGGUAGGACUACCCGCUGAACUUAAG